AGUGUCUUCUGCAUCUCCUAGGAACCUCGGGAGCGGCAGCUCCGGCGCCUGGUAGCGAGAGGCGGGUUCCGGAGAUCCCGGCCUCACUUCGUCCCACUGUGGUUAGGGGUGAGUCCUGCAAAUGUUAAGUGAUUUGCUCAAGGUGCCCAUUUCGCAGGAAUUGGAGCCCAGGCCAGUUCUCUGAGCCUAUCAUUAGGGCUAAAGGAGUGCGUGAUCAGAAUGGUGUCUGGACGGUUCUACUUGUCCUGCCUGCUGCUGGGGUCCCUGGGCUCUAUGUGCAUCCUCUUCACUAUCUACUGGAUGCAGUACUGGCGUGGUGGCUUUGCCUGGAAUGGCAGCAUCUACAUGUUCAACUGGCACCCAGUGCUUAUGGUUGCUGGCAUGGUGGUAUUCUAUGGAGGUGACGGAGUCUUGCUGUGUCGCCCAGGCUGGAGUGCAGUGGCGUGAUAGCGGCUCACUGCAAGCUCCACCUCCCGGCGUCGCUGGUGUACCGCCUGCCCCAGUCGUGGGUGGGGCCCAAACUGCCCUGGAAACUCCUCCAUGCAGCGCUGCACCUGAUGGCCUUCGUCCUCACUGUUGUGGGGCUGGUUGCUGUCUUUACGUUUCACAACCAUG
rnacentral:sRNA from 1 species